CUUGACUGUAUCCUGGAAUUGGGUUCGGACUUUACUUGCGCAGUAUAGGUGGGAGGCGUUGAAAAUUUUCUUGCGGGAAGAUUGGAGCCAUCAGUGAGAUACCACUCUUGUAAUGUUAGAUUUCUAACUUUGGAUCAUGAUCUGGUCAAAGGACAGUUUCAGGCGGGCAGUUUGACUGGGGCGGUCGCCUCCCAAACGGUAACGGAGGCGUACAAAGGUUUCCUCUGAACGGGUAGAAAUCGUAUCUAGAGUGUAAAGGCAUAAGGAAGCUUGACUGUGAGACCUACAAGUCGAGCAGGGACGAAAGUCGGUCUUAGUGAUCUGACGGUGCUGAGUGGAAAGGCCGUCACUCAACGGAUAAAAGUUA
rnacentral:rRNA from 1 species